rnacentral:ncRNA from 1 species
AAUUUUAAACAAUCUACUAGAUAACCAAGUGCAGAGAGGGUGAUACCUCGCUUGGAUUGUGUAUAUAAUUCCCGUUGCGCUUGUUGUGAGAUAUUGCAGGAAGAUAAGCAACUCUCUUCCGGGCGAUCGGAAGAGGUCAUGACGUGAAAGAAGAUUGAGGGUGUACAUAGUAUGGAGAUUGUGCGUAGUUAGAUCAUUAUCAGACGGUGGCGGUGACAAUAGACGCUCUCUGUGAGAGAAUAAUCUGGCUAGGUCUUAUGUAGCAGUAAGAGCCAAACCAGAAAUGCUAAAAUAAACCGUUUUGCACUUGAGGCCGAGCAAUCGGCCAAUAACACCAAAGAUAAGUACAAGUAGCCCAAAUGUGCAGAUGAACGAUACUGAUAUUGUUAUGCUUAAAACAAAUAUUCUGAAUGUCGGGUGAAAGUUGGACGUAACCAGUCGUGCCUAGCCAUUAAAACGCUACGGAAGUUAUAGGGUCGCUCCUUAUGGCUCAGACCGUGGUAGGCUAUCGGUCAAUAAAUUGCGUACAAUCGAAGUAGAGCGAAGGCUCAUUUGAUAGAUUGUUUAAAG